UGAUCAGUGUGAGAGGAAAAGGAGAGUAGG
rnacentral:piRNA from 1 species